rnacentral:rRNA from 1 species
GACGAACGCUGGCGGCGUGCUUAACACAUGCAAGUCGAACGGAAAGGCCCUGCUUUUGUGGGGUGCUCGAGUGGCGAACGGGUGAGUAACACGUGAGUAACCUGCCCUUGACUUUGGGAUAACUUCAGGAAACUGGGGCUAAUACCGGAUAGGAGCUCCUGCUGCAUGGUGGGGGUUGGAAAGUUUGGGCGGUUGGGGAUGGACUCGCGGCCUAUCAGCUUGUUGGUGGGGUAGUGGCUUACCAAGGCUUUGAAGGGUAGCCGGCCUGAGAGGGUGACCGGCCACAUUAGGACUGAGAUACGGCACAGACUCCUACGGGAGGCAGCGGUGGGGAAGAGUGCACAAGGGGCGGAAGCCUGAUGCAGCAACGCCGCGUGCGGGAUGACGGCCUGCGGGUUGGAUACCGAUUUCGCCUGUGCCGAAGCGUUAGUGACGGUAAUGGGUAAAGAAGCACCGGCUAACUACGUG